AGACAACAACUGAUCGUGAUGUCUGAGUUAUUGAUACUUAGGCCAUGAUCCUGUCACCUUAGGUCGAUCGGUACCUCAAGUUGAGAAUCAAAGAAAAGCUGAUUAAUCAGCUUGGAGAUUGAUGAUUGAUUUUAGUUCCUAAACUUGUCUAGGUCACACCCCGCAAGGGUUACUCCUGGGCCAUUAGCUCAGGUGGUUAGAGCGCACCCCUGAUAAGGGUGAGGUCCCUGGUUCAAGUCCAGGAUGGCCCAUUCGGUGUUGGGGGUUUAGCUCAGUUGGUAGAGCGCCUGCUUUGCAAGCAGGAUGUCAGCGGUUCGAGUCCGCUUACCUCCACUGAAAACUACCCUGAUAACUAAAUCAGGAGAAAAUUGGUAAAUGUGACUUAGAAUUGUCUAUUGAAAAGAACCUAGCUUCUUAUCAUCUUUUAAAGUUGAUAAUAUGCUGGGCUCACAUGGAUUUAUCCAUGAGAAUUCAGUAGAACCUUGAAAACUGCAUAGAUUGAAAGAAUAAAGCAUCUCAUGGAUGCAUAGUUCUUUUUGAUUUUUUAGAUUCAAUUUCUAAAUCUUCAAUUUAAGAACUCAUGUUUAAUUCUUGAGUAAUAGCCGAGCACAAUUGAUUUUGUGUUUGUAUUUAAA
rnacentral:tRNA from 1 species